GCGUAAGCGCGCGUAGGCCGUUGAGUUAGUUAAUUGUGAAAUCCCAAAGCUUAACUUUGGAACUGCAAUUAAAACUGCUCGACUAGAGUUUGAUAGAGGAAAGCGGAAUACAUAGUGUAGAGGUGAAAUUCGUAGAUAUUAUGUAGAACACCAGUUGCGAAGGCGGCUUUCUGGAUCAACACUGACGCUGAGGCGCGAAAGUAUGGGUAGCAAAGAGGAUUAGAUACCCUCGUAGUCCAUACCAUAAACGAUGAUUGCUAGAUGUUGGAAAUUUAUUUUCAGUAUCGCAGCUAACGCAUUAAGCAAUCCGCCUGGGGAGUACGACCGCAAGGUUAAAACUCAAAUGAAUUGACGGGGACCCGCACAAGCGGUGGAGCAUGUGGUUUAAUUCGAAGAUACGCGCAGAACCUUACCAACCCUUGACAUGUCUGUCGCGAGUUUAGGAAACUAGACUUUUCGGUUCGGCCGGACAGAACACAGGUGCUGCAUGGCUGUCGUCAGCUCGUGUCGUGAGAUGUUGGGUUAAGUCCCGCAACGAGCGCAACCCCUACUUUUAGUUGCCAUCAGGUCAUGCUGGGCACUCUGAAAGAACUGCCAGUGAUAAGCUGGAGGAAGGUGGGGAUGACGUCAAGUCCUCAUGCCCCUUAUGUCCAGGGCUGC
rnacentral:rRNA from 1 species